AACGAGGUGACGCCACCCAUGAGCGCAGCUGUGCCGGACAUGCUGGAACUGCAGUAAGAACUGGAAUCGAAGGAGGCCAAAUGAUGAGUUCCAGUAUCUACAGGAGUCCCAUGCUUCCACUUGUCUCUUGUACCAGGCCAUCCACCACCUCUGAGGGUCCGCCCUGCAAUUCCUCUGCUCUAGCUGCACAAUCAGAAGUGAACCCCCACACCAUCAGUCCAUGCCCUUAUCUUCCUUCCCCAGGCUGAACAAAAUAAUUGUGAUUUUUAUUUAACCUUUCCCAGCACCUCUCCCUCCACCUUCUCAACAGACAACUGAGAAGGAGGAGGAUCUGGUGGUGGACAAGGAGGAGGUGGCAGAAUAGGGAAGAAAACAGGAUCAGUGCCAUUCACAGGAACCACUGCUUGACCAGGAGUGUCCAUCCUCACCACUGCCUCACCGGCCAGAGGAGGCACUACCAUCAGAGCACCCUUCUGGCUCACCCUGCCACCUGAACUCAGCUCCAGGGCUGCUGCUGCCACUUCUGCCACUGUUGGAAACUCAGUGGGGAUACGCAGGGACACACUGCUGCUAGUUCUGGCUGGCUACCCUGUGCAGAACCGGCAGAGUGUGGGGGAAGCGGGGCAAACCCCCUCCCCUUCCCAUGCUCGGUACCGCCAGUUCCACCACACUAAAGUUAAAGCUGAGUUGCAGCGGGGGAAGGGGAUCCCCAUCGCUACUGUCCACAUAUUCCCCAUCAGGACACUCCGAAUACAGACUCGUCAUUUACAGCUGCAGCCUGCCCAUACAUGCUGCUUGGUGCUAGGACAAGAAGGGUACACAGUGUAGGGCUGUUUCUUCUGGAGUCACUAGCUCAUCCCCUGAAUAGGGAGUGGGUGCACCCAUCAAGAGGAUGGCGCAAACACCAAUCAGCCUGCCAAACAGGACAGUGCUGCUUCCAUGUGGCGCCAUCUUUGAAAUGCUGCCUGGGAACGCUGCUAUAGGUCCAGGGGAGGCUAGCAGCAUGGCCAGAGUUGCCUGCGUUUCCACAGAUUCCCAUCAGGAGGGGAAAACAUGCAUGGGUUUGCCUGCUCCACUGUACCUCACACCUCCACCUCACCCCGUGCAGUGCCGCUGAGAACCCUGCUGUGGGUCAGCGUGAGCCAUGGCUGCUUCAGGGGCAGGGGUCCCAUAUCAUCUUCAGCCACCUCAGACCUUUGAACUCAUUUUUUGCCACUUCCUUCUCCCCCCUCCACCACCCAGGAGGGGAGCAGCUCACUUCUCCAAGCCUUCCAAUUCUCCAUGCCAACUUCACUGAGAGGCACCAUUUUUCCUAGGCUGUGAUUCUGUAUUUUCUCCAGUUCAGUCUAUGCAAAUGUUUUGGAAGGGGAUUUCUCAGUGCCUAUGCCUAUUUGGCGGAGGAGAGAAAUUAAUUGGGGCGAUAUACAUUUUAUAUAAAAAUAUAGAUUUAUUAAAUUCAAUAUUUUGAACUCUUGCCACCCCCAACCACUGUAUAUUAAUAUUAAAGGUUGUACAAGGUUAUGAAAACAAUUUAAGAUAAAAUUUGUACAGGGAAUUAGUUAUUUAACUAGCAAAUAUUCAAACUAUAAUCAGAGAGAGGAGUUUUCCCCGCAGCUUAAUGCUGUUGGGCAUCUCUAUGCUAUUUGCCAGCAGAGCAGGCUGAAACUUUCUGCUCUAUGGCAGAGGCAGCUUAUAUUACAAAGAUGUUAAAGCUUUUACUCAGAAUUCUUAUCAGUUAUUAAUCCACCCUUUGGGGUUGUGUCACAGCCUGUGCCUAGUGUCCAAUUCUCCAGGGUCUUCUGCCUGCGGACUUGGAGGCUGAAAUCUCCCAGCUUGUGGGGAGAGGAUAAAUCUUCCCAGUUUCUGGGGAAAUAUUGGUUUUCUCUAACCGUUGUUCUCCUGGCUGCAAAAAUAGGACAAGCACACUGUCAUCUGUGCCAAUUAAGUGGGUUUUGUCCCUGACAAUAGGUGCUAAACUGAUCUUUAUUUUGCAAUUAUCCAUUCUGUAAACCUCGUGAAAAUACCCAAAUUUGUUAACCAUGAUCAAAACCUUAUAAUCUAUACACACAUAAUCAUCAUGUCAGUGCUCCUUUCAAGUUCUUCCCACAAUUCUGCCAUCUGAGCAAGACUUCUGCUCACUUUAAAAAACAGGCUGGUUGAAACAAGCUGAUUCUCCAUCAACAACCUGUGAACAUAAAUGAACAAAGGCACAAACAAAUACAAAAACAGAUGCAAACAUAUUCAUUUCCCUAGGCUAACAAAUCCAUUGGCCUAGUCUGUACAAUGCAACCACAGAAAUUUCAACAUUCUCUUUUCCUUUCUUACCUUCCUUUCCUUCCUCUAUUCUCUCCCCUCCCUUUUUUUUUAUGAGUUAUACAUAAUCCUAGUGCUACCUAAAUAUACAGAAAAAAAUCUUAAAAAAUAUUCUACAAUAUCCUUAUAUCCUAAAAUUCUACAAUUAUAUUUACAAACUCUUAAUUAUGUUAUCGGUCAACUUAAAAAAUACAUCAACUAAAGGAGAUGAAACCAUUAACUCAGUACUGAGAAAAAACAAAGAAAAUCAAUAAAAUAUCACAUUCAUGGAGCCUCCUUUGAAAAUACUCUGGUACCAGAAAAGGAAAAGAGUCUUAGAAGUUAUACACUUACAAACAACUCUUACUAUAAUAUUCUAUUAUAUUAACUAUUAAACAUGUGCAGCUGUCAAGUUCUCAA